GCGAGAGUGGCAUAAUGGUAAGGAGCAGUGCUCAUAACCCAGAGGUUGCUGGUUUGAAUCCUGCACUGCUGCU